AUUGAACGCUGGCGGCAUGCCUUACACAUGCAAGUCGAACGGCAGCACGGGUGCUUGCGCCUGGUGGCGAGUGGCGAACGGGUGAGUAAUACAUCGGAACAUGUCCUGUAGUGGGGGAUAGCCCGGCGAAAGCCGGAUUAAUACCGCAUACGAUCUACGGAUGAAAGCGGGGGACCUUCGGGCCUCGCGCUAUAGGGUUGGCCGAUGGCUGAUUAGCUAGUUGGUGGGGUAAAGGCCUACCAAGGCGACGAUCAGUAGCUGGUCUGAGGGGACGACCAGCCACACUGGGACUGAGACACGGCCCAGACUCCUACGGGAGGCAGCAGUGGGGAAUUUUGGACAAUGGGCGAAAGCCUGAUCCAGCAAUGCCGCGUGUGUGAAGAAGGCCUUCGGGUUGUAAAGCACUUUUGUCCGGAAAGAAAUCCUUGGCCCUAAUACGGUCGGGGGAUGACGGUACCGGAAGAAUAAGCACCGGCUAACUACGUG
rnacentral:rRNA from 1 species